rfam:Pan troglodytes isolate Yerkes chimp pedigree #C0471 (Clint) chromosome 14, whole genome shotgun sequence.
CCAAAGGCUCUUUUCAGAGCCAACAUUGUUCCUGGUAGGCGGAG